rnacentral:rRNA from 1 species
CCUACGGGCGGCUGCAGUCGAGAAUCAUUCACAAUGGGGGAAACCCUGAUGGUGCGAUGCCGCGUGGGGGAAUGAAGGUCUUCGGAUUGUAAACCCUUGUCAUGUGGGAGAAAAUUAAAAAGAUAGUACCACAAGAGGAAGAGACGGCUAACUCUGUGCCAGCAGGCGCGGUAAUACAGAGGUUUCAAGCGAUGUGCGGAAUCACUGGGCGUAAGGGGUGCGGCGGGUGUUUCGUAAGUCGUGUGUGAAAGGCGCGGGCUCAACCCGCGGACGGCACAUGAUACUGCGAGACUAGAGUAAUGGAGGGGGAACCGGAAUUCCCGGUGUAGCAGUGAAAUGCGUAGAUAUCGGGAGGAACACUCGUGGCGAAGGCGGGUUCCUGGACAUUAACUGACGCUGAGGCGCGAAGGCCAGGGGAGCGAAAGGGAUUAGAUACCCGUGUAGUC